GCAGUCGAGCGGAUGAAGGGAGCUUGCUCCUGGAUUCAGCGGCGGACGGGUGAGUAAUGCCUAGGAAUCUGCCUGGUAGUGGGGGAUAACGUCCGGAAACGGGCGCUAAUACCGCAUACGUCCUGAGGGAGAAAGUGGGGGAUCUUCGGACCUCACGCUAUCAGAUGAGCCUAGGUCGGAUUAGCUAGUUGGUGGGGUAAAGGCCUACCAAGGCGACGAUCCGUAACUGGUCUGAGAGGAUGAUCAGUCACACUGGAACUGAGACACGGUCCAGACUCCUACGGGAGGCAGCAGUGGGGAAUAUUGGACAAUGGGCGAAAGCCUGAUCCAGCCAUGCCGCGUGUGUGAAGAAGGUCUUCGGAUUGUAAAGCACUUUAAGUUGGGAGGAAGGGCAGUAAGUUAAUACCUUGCUGUUUUGACGUUACCAACAGAAUAAGCACCGGCUAACUUCGUGCCAGCAGCCGCGGUAAUACGAAGGGUGCAAGCGUUAAUCGGAAUUACUGGGCGUAAAGCGCGCGUAGGUGGUUCAGCAAGUUGGAUGUGAAAUCCCCGGGCUCAACCUGGGAACUGCAUCCAAAACUACUGAGCUAGAGUACGGUAGAGGGUGGUGGAAUUUCCUGUGUAGCGGUGAAAUGCGUAGAUAUAGGAAGGAACACCAGUGGCGAAGGCGACCACCUGGACUGAUACUGACACUGAGGUGC
rnacentral:rRNA from 1 species